rnacentral:rRNA from 1 species
UACGUAGGGGGCUAGCGUUGUCCGGAAUCAUUGGGCGUAAAGCGCGUGUAGGCGGCCCGGUAAGUCCGCUGUGAAAGUCGGGGGGCUCAACCCUCGAAUGCCGGUGGAUACUGUCGGGCUCGAGUGCGGAAGAGGCGAGUGGAAUUCCUGGUGUAGCGGUGAAAUGCGUAGAUAUCGAGAGGAACACCAGUGGCGAAGGCGAGUCCCUGGACAGAUCCUGACGCUGAGGCACGAAAGCUAGGGGAGCAAACAGG